CCUACGGGUGGCAGCAGUGGGGAAUAUUGGACAAUGGGCGAAAGCCUGAUCCAGCCAUGCCGCGUGUGUGAAGAAGGCCUUCGGGUUGUAAAGCACUUUCAGUGGGGAAGAAAGCCUUGGGGCUAAUACCCUCGAGGAAGGACAUCACCCACAGAAGAAGCACCGGCUAACUCCGUGCCAGCAGCCGCGGUAAUACGGAGGGUGCGAGCGUUAAUCGGAAUUACUGGGCGUGAAGCGCGCGUAGGCGGUCUGAUAAGCCGGUUGUGAAAGCCCCGGGCUCAACCUGGGAACGGCAUCCGGAACUGUCAGGCUAGAGUGCAGGAGAGGAAGGUAGAAUUCCCGGUGUAGCGGUGAAAUGCGUAGAGAUCGGGAGGAAUACCAGUGGCGAAGGCGGCCUUCUGGACUGACACUGACGCUGAGGUGCGAAAGCGUGGGUAGCAAACAGGAUUAGAUACCCUUGUAGUC
rnacentral:rRNA from 1 species